AAGCUCUCCACCCUUCUCCUCUCGGAAAGGCUCUGGGAACCGGGCGGGGGUUUGGGCUCGGUGCGGCUCCUCGCUAGGCCGUGACUCAUGGGGAAGAUAGAUGGGAAGAGGAAAUCUCUGAGCUAGCCAUUGCUGAGAAAGCAUGAGAAAUGGCUCCCAUCAGGUGUCCAGUCACCAAAAUCAGGAUCCAGCUUCAGAUGGUUAGUAUCUGUGUGCCACCCAUAUUUCAAGCAUCACUAAUACAGCUGUUGGCAUGACUAAAAUCUAGCUUUGGGAACUCGGGUUCAAAACCUGUCUUACCAACUCUUCUCAUAAAUGAGAUCAGCAACCUUUUCUCCACAUCCCCUCACACCAUUCCCAAUCUCUCAUUCAUCAUCCUAAUUCAGACCAUCACCUUUUCAUAUUUCAUCUCCUUCAUUUUAAUCCCCACACCAUUCUCUUCCAUAGAGCAGAAAAAAUGAUUUUCCUAAAGUGCACACUAGAUGACCAUGCGACCUCUGAACUGCAUGCAUUCCUAUGGUUAUUAUCCCUACGAUUAAAAUAGAAAUUCUGCAUUUAAAGCUAUUCAUAAUCCUGGCCUCUAUCUUUUCAGUCUCCUUCCACAAUUUCCCUUGAUGUAUUAUUCUGUAAUCCAGAAGGUCACCUUCUGCAGAAGUUCCCCCAAUUGCUAGGGCUUUGCUCUCUAAGGAUACCUUGUAUUUUGUAUGGUAUAUAUAGAUCUAUAUACAAGUGGUCAUAUCAUUAGAAUGUAUGCUCCUUGAGGGGAAGACUCUUUUCUUUGAAAAUACUAGGGCAGUUUAGGAUAAUACCUGUCAUAUAAUGCAUGAUUAAAUUCUGAAUUCUGCAACAAUACUGUAUGCAAAAAAAAAUCUAACUUGAUCAAUAGACAUGAACAAAAAAAUAAGAACUGGAGUCAAUUAUUACGUUAGAUUGAAAAACAUGGUCUAGUCCCUUAACAAGAGGGAUAAAAUAACCCAUGUGAUCUGCUGGUUUUUUAAAUUAAAAAAAA
rnacentral:lncRNA from 1 species